CCCUAUAAAGGCGUUCGCGCCUCGUCAUUAGCUCCUCUUACCCCGGUCAUCCGAGUGGACUCACAGCGGAGACAAUGCAGGAUGUCCGCAUACAGCUGCCGGCUGUGCUGCGACCCGAGGGAUUGUGGACCUGAGGCCGGCUCGGUUUCCUCCCCGCACUGGUCUUCUGACUGAUUGCUGUCAUGUUCCUGCUGCAUGAAGGCUUGCAUCCAUGUACCGUACCAGGUAUUCAGGCACUCAGGAGUCAGCUGAGGUGGUUUGGGCAGCUAACAAAGAUUCCUGAUGGGCGCGGCUCUCCAGGCAGGACAUGCUGAAGGGUUCACAUCUCCCACUGUGAUGGCAGACUGAGUCUCACAAGCUUGUGUGGUCUCUGCUGCUCCCUGCAGGUCUCCAGUAGGCGCUGACUAGAGGUCUAAAGUCUGGGAAUAUUGUCUGAGUUAAAGAUGGGUGAUUUGGCUGAAAUUCCAAACUUUUUCCAGAAUUGUGGAAGCUUCCUGGAGUCGUGGCGUGAACAGUACCAGCAGCCUCUUGCAGUUGAUGGUGACGUGACAUCGAAGCUGCCACCACUUUGUUGCGUAGAGGUCAUUUGAAGUCAGUCUAUUAAUAAAUGCAAAUUAAAGACUCAGAACUCUUGUCUCUGUUCUAUAUGAAAUGUGUUAUUUCCCACGUAUUAAAUCACUCGAGAGCUUU